AUGGAUAGAAGUGGCUACUCUCUUCCACUCCUGACAACAUGGAAGCAAACGAGGAAACUAUCACUCUUAAAUAAGGAAUCUCUUGAAUCUGGUCUGCAUGGAUGUCCAAUUGAGUUGCCAGGUACAAUUGAAACUCUUGGUGCACCGGUUACGAGGUUGCUUGCAGACCGAAAUGGCAAUUCAGGGACAGAUGAAGUAAAUGUUUUAAGCAUGCCUUUUCGUGGUAAUGUUGAUGAAAGUCUGAAUGUGAGGAGAACUCUCUAUGUACAGUCUCUCAAAGUGAAUUCAGGUCCUCAUAAUAAUUUAUGA
rnacentral:rRNA from 1 species